AGUGAACGCUGGCGGUAGGCCUAACACAUGCAAGUCGAACGGCAGCACAGUAAGAGCUUGCUCUUACGGGUGGCGAGUGGCGGACGGGUGAGGAAUACAUCGGUAUCUACUUUUUCGUGGGGGAUAACGUAGGGAAACUUACGCUAAUACCGCAUACGGCCUACGGGUGAAAGCAGGGGAUCUUCGGACCUUGCGCGAUUGAAUGAGCCGAUGUCGGAUUAGCUAGUUGGCGGGGUAAAGGCCCACCAAGGCGACGAUCCGUAGCUGGUCUGAGAGGAUGAUCAGCCACACUGGAACUGAGACACGGUCCAGACUCCUACGGGAGGCAGCAGUGGGGAAUAUUGGACAAUGGGCGCAAGCCUGAUCCAGCCAUACCGCGUGGGUGAAGAAGGCCUUCGGGUUGUAAAGCCCUUUUGUUGGGAAAGAAAAGCAGCAGGUUAAUACCCCGCUGUUCUGACGGUACCCAAAGAAUAAGCACCGGCUAACUUCGUG
rnacentral:rRNA from 1 species